rnacentral:rRNA from 1 species
AUUGAACGCUGGCGGCAGGCCUAACACAUGCAAGUCGAGCGGAUGAAGGGAACUUGCUCCUGGAUUCAGCGGCGGACGGGUGAGUAAUGCCUAGGAAUCUGCCUGGUAGUGGGGGAUAACGUCCGGAAACGGGCGCUAAUACCGCAUACGUCCUGAGGGAGAAAGUGGGGGUUCUUCGGACCUCACGCUAUCAGAUGAGCCUAGGUCGGAUUAGCUAGUUGGUGGGGUAAAGGCCUACCAAGGCGACGAUCCGUAACUGGUCUGAGAGGAUGAUCAGUCACACUGGAACUGAGACACGGUCCAGACUCCUACGGGAGGCAGCAGUGGGGAAUAUUGGACAAUGGGCGAAAGCCUGAUCCAGCCAUGCCGCGUGUGUGAAGAAGGUCUUCGGAUUGUAAAGCACUUUAAGUUGGGAGGAAGGGCAGUAAGUUAAUACCUUGCUGUUUUGACGUUACCAACAGAAUAAGCACCGGCUAACUUCGUG